AGAUUUCUAAGCUCAAAUCUCUUAAAGGUACCAAACGUUUAUCAUCCCUUUCUAGCAACUUUUAAGGGUAUAUCUCACAUUUUCUUCAUGCUCGAUUGCAGGUUUUGAAUUAGGGUGAAACCAUUGAGUUACAUGGAUGCAAAUUAUCAUGCAGCUGCUUGAAAAAGCAGGAAGUCAUUACCAGAAAGAGUGGUUUUUUAUAUGGUUUGGUGACUUCUGCAUCUUAAUUGGGUGCUAUCCUACUGAGCUUUUCUACUCCUUUCUUUCUUUCUUUGUCUGACUUGUGUGUUCUUGACCUUGUAAGACCUUUUCUUGACCUUGUAAGACCUCAUGCCGUGUCUUUUCUUUUUAUUUUGUGUCGUUUUUCAAUUUUUACAGCAGAAUUUUCUGAUGUAGGAUUGGUUGUUCUCCUUCUCCGUUUCCACCCAACUCACUUUCUCCUUUCUUGUCUAUCCCUCCUGAGCUAUUUCGUAUAAAGUAUUCAUAAGCUAAUGCUAUGUAGUAUAUAUUCUUCUGGUAUGGCCAACCGUGUUAGACAGGCAGAAAGCCUGAUAUAUAUAGAAAUGUAUUGAAUUUUGAGGCCCAAGUUUCAUUGUUUUUAUUUUAUGUAUGUUUUUGGUCAGAGAAUUAAGUUGCAAG
rnacentral:lncRNA from 1 species